rnacentral:rRNA from 1 species
UACGGGGGGAGCAAGCGUUGUUCGGAUUUACUGGGCGUAAAGGGCUCGUAGGCGGCCAACUAAGUCGGACGUGAAAUCCCUCGGCUUAACCGGGGAACUGCGUCCGAUACUGGAUGGCUUGAGUUCGGGAGAGGGAUGCAGAAUUCCAGGUGUAGCGGUGAAAUGCGUAGAUAUCUGGAGGAAUACCGGUGGCGAAGGCGGAGACCUGGGCCGAUACUGACGCUGAGGUGCGAAAGCGUGGGGAGCAAACAGG